GAUGAACGCUGGCGGCGUGCCUAAUACAUGCAAGUCGAGCGAACAGACGAGGAGCUUGCUCCUCUGACGUUAGCGGCGGACGGGUGAGUAACACGUGGAUAACCUACCUAUAAGACUGGGAUAACUUCGGGAAACCGGAGCUAAUACCGGAUAAUAUAUUGAACGGCAGGGUUCAAUAGUGAAAGACGGUUUUGCUGUCACUUAUAGAUGGAUCCGCGCCGCAUUAGCUAGUUGGUAAGGUAACGGCUUACCAAGGCAACGAUGCGUAGCCGACAUGAGAGGGUGGUCCGCCACACUGGAACUGAGACACGGUCCAGACUCCUACGGGAGGCAGCAGGAGGGAAUCUUCCGCAAUGGGCGAAAGCCUGACGGAGCCACGCCGCGUGAGUGAUGAAGGUCUUCGGAUCGUAAAACUCUGUUAUUAGGGAAGAACAAAUGUGUAAGUAACUAUGCACGUCUUGACGGUACCUAAUCAGAAAGCCACGGCUAACUACGUG
rnacentral:rRNA from 1 species